rnacentral:rRNA from 1 species
UACAUGCAAGUCGAGCGAGAAAGUAUCUUCGGAUAUGAGUAGAGCGGCGGACGGGUGAGUAACGCGUAGGAAUCUACCUAGUAGAAGGGGAUAGCCCGGGGAAACUCGGAUUAAUACCGUAUACCUCCUUUGGGAGAAAGAGGGCCUCUCUUUGAUGCUCUCGCUACUAGAUGAGCCUGCGUAAGAUUAGCUAGUUGGUGAGGUAAUGGCUCACCAAGGCGACGAUCUUUAGCUGGUCUGAGAGGACGAUCAGCCACAUUGGGACUGAGACACGGCCCAGACUCCUACGGGAGGCAGCAGUAGGGAAUAUUGGACAAUGAGCGCAAGCUUGAUCCAGCCAUACCGCGUGUGUGAAGAAGGCUUUCGGGUUGUAAAGCACUUUAAGCAGGGAGAAAAAGUUAUAGGCUAAUACCCUAUGACCGUGAUGUUACCUGCAGAAUAAGCACCGGCUAAUUCCGUGCCAGCAGCCGCGGUAAUACGGAAGGUGCAAGCGUUAAUCGGAAUUACUGGGCGUAAGGCGCGCGUAGGUGGUUUGGUUAGUUGGAUGUGAAAGCC